GGGGGCGACAUGGUUUCGACGGGGGAAGUGAUGGCAAGAGGAGCGAGCCGGGAUCGUCACCAGCCCGUAAAACGGUGGCAAAGGCAAUAACUGCCAAGAACGAACCUGUAGCCCUGGCUGCAUAAAGACAGCCAGCAUCCCACCCGCUUAAGCCUGCAGAGCGGGACCGGGGUGUCACACUAGCGGGCUUACCCGGCGCCAAUUCUCGGAGGCGUCGCGGGACAUUCAUCGAGAUAGCUCGGUGAGGAGCCUGGCUGUAGGCGCCAACCGGAGCGAAACUUAAAAUACAGCCUACGCUCGUAGCCGCCUCUUGUGGUCAUUCUUCCGGACGGUGGGUUCGACUCCCCCCGCCUCCACCA
rnacentral:tmRNA from 1 species